rnacentral:tRNA from 1 species
AAGGUUUUAAGUUAAAAAAACUAAUAAUCUUCAAAAUUAUAUAUAAAGAAAUGUUCUUUAAGCCUUA